rnacentral:piRNA from 1 species
GACUAAUCAGCUAUGUGUGGAGACCC